rnacentral:rRNA from 1 species
GGGUUGUGAGGUUAAGCGACUAAGCGUACACGGUGGAUGCCCUGGCAGUCAGAGGCGAUGAAGGACGUGCUAAUCUGCGAUAAGCGUCGGUAAGGUGAUAUGAACCGUUAUAACCGGCGAUUUCCGAAUGGGGAAACCCAGUGUGAUUCGUCACACUAUCAUUAACUGAAUCCAUAGGUUAAUGAGGCGAACCGGGGGAACUGAAACAUCUAAGUACCCCGAGGAAAAGAAAUCAACCGAGAUUCCCCCAGUAGCGGCGAGCGAACGGGGAGCAGCCCAGAGCCUGAAUCAGUGUGUGUGUUAGUGGAAGCGUCUGGAAAGGCGCGCGAUACAGGGUGACAGCCCCGUACACAAAAAUGCACAUGCUGUGAGCUCGAUGAGUAGGGCGGGACACGUGGUAUCCUGUCUGAAUAUGGGGGGACCAUCCUCCAAGGCUAAAUACUCCUGACUGACCGAUAGUGAACCAGUACCGUGAGGGAAAGGCGAAAAGAACCCCGGCGAGGGGAGUGAAAAAGAACCUGAAACCGUGUACGUACAAGCAGUGGGAGCACGCUUAGGCGUGUGACUGCGUACCUUUUGUAUAAUGGGUCAGCGACUUAUAUUCUGUAGCAAGGUUAACCGAAUAGGGGAGCCGAAGGGAAACCGAGUCUUAACUGGGCGUUAAGUUGCAGGGUAUAGACCCGAAACCCGGUGAUCUAGCCAUGGGCAGGUUGAAGGUUGGGUAACACUAACUGGAGGACCGAACCGACUAAUGUUGAAAAAUUAGCGGAUGACUUGUGGCUGGGGGUGAAAGGCCAAUCAAACCGGGAGAUAGCUGGUUCUCCCCGAAAGCUAUUUAGGUAGCGCCUCGUGAAUUCAUCUCCGGGGGUAGAGCACUGUUUCGGCAAGGGGGUCAUCCCGACUUACCAACCCGAUGCAAACUGCGAAUACCGGAGAAUGUUAUCACGGGAGACACACGGCGGGUGCUAACGUCCGUCGUGAAGAGGGAAACAACCCAGACCGCCAGCUAAGGUCCCAAAGUCAUGGUUAAGUGGGAAACGAUGUGGGAAGGCCCAGACAGCCAGGAUGUUGGCUUAGAAGCAGCCAUCAUUUAAAGAAAGCGUAAUAGCUCACUGGUCGAGUCGGCCUGCGCGGAAGAUGUAACGGGGCUAAACCAUGCACCGAAGCUGCGGCAGCGACGCUUAUGCGUUGUUGGGUAGGGGAGCGUUCUGUAAGCCUGCGAAGGUGUGCUGUGAGGCAUGCUGGAGGUAUCAGAAGUGCGAAUGCUGACAUAAGUAACGAUAAAGCGGGUGAAAAGCCCGCUCGCCGGAAGACCAAGGGUUCCUGUCCAACGUUAAUCGGGGCAGGGUGAGUCGACCCCUAAGGCGAGGCCGAAAGGCGUAGUCGAUGGGAAACAGGUUAAUAUUCCUGUACUUGGUGUUACUGCGAAGGGGGGACGGAGAAGGCUAUGUUGGCCGGGCGACGGUUGUCCCGGUUUAAGCGUGUAGGCUGGUUUUCCAGGCAAAUCCGGAAAAUCAAGGCUGAGGCGUGAUGACGAGGCACUACGGUGCUGAAGCAACAAAUGCCCUGCUUCCAGGAAAAGCCUCUAAGCAUCAGGUAACAUCAAAUCGUACCCCAAACCGACACAGGUGGUCAGGUAGAGAAUACCAAGGCGCUUGAGAGAACUCGGGUGAAGGAACUAGGCAAAAUGGUGCCGUAACUUCGGGAGAAGGCACGCUGAUAUGUAGGUGAAGUCCCUCGCGGAUGGAGCUGAAAUCAGUCGAAGAUACCAGCUGGCUGCAACUGUUUAUUAAAAACACAGCACUGUGCAAACACGAAAGUGGACGUAUACGGUGUGACGCCUGCCCGGUGCCGGAAGGUUAAUUGAUGGGGUUAGCGCAAGCGAAGCUCUUGAUCGAAGCCCCGGUAAACGGCGGCCGUAACUAUAACGGUCCUAAGGUAGCGAAAUUCCUUGUCGGGUAAGUUCCGACCUGCACGAAUGGCGUAAUGAUGGCCAGGCUGUCUCCACCCGAGACUCAGUGAAAUUGAACUCGCUGUGAAGAUGCAGUGUACCCGCGGCAAGACGGAAAGACCCCGUGAACCUUUACUAUAGCUUGACACUGAACAUUGAGCCUUGAUGUGUAGGAUAGGUGGGAGGCUUUGAAGUGUGGACGCCAGUCUGCAUGGAGCCGACCUUGAAAUACCACCCUUUAAUGUUUGAUGUUCUAACGUUGACCCGUAAUCCGGGUUGCGGACAGUGUCUGGUGGGUAGUUUGACUGGGGCGGUCUCCUCCUAAAGAGUAACGGAGGAGCACGAAGGUUGGCUAAUCCUGGUCGGACAUCAGGAGGUUAGUGCAAUGGCAUAAGCCAGCUUGACUGCGAGCGUGACGGCGCGAGCAGGUGCGAAAGCAGGUCAUAGUGAUCCGGUGGUUCUGAAUGGAAGGGCCAUCGCUCAACGGAUAAAAGGUACUCCGGGGAUAACAGGCUGAUACCGCCCAAGAGUUCAUAUCGACGGCGGUGUUUGGCACCUCGAUGUCGGCUCAUCACAUCCUGGGGCUGAAGUAGGUCCCAAGGGUAUGGCUGUUCGCCAUUUAAAGUGGUACGCGAGCUGGGUUUAGAACGUCGUGAGACAGUUCGGUCCCUAUCUGCCGUGGGCGCUGGAGAAUUGAGGGGGGCUGCUCCUAGUACGAGAGGACCGGAGUGGACGCAUCACUGGUGUUCGGGUUGUCAUGCCAAUGGCACUGCCCGGUAGCUAAAUGCGGAAGAGAUAAGUGCUGAAAGCAUCUAAGCACGAAACUUGCCCCGAGAUGAGUUCUCCCUGACUCCUUGAGAGUCCUGAAGGAACGUUGAAGACGACGACGUUGAUAGGCCGGGUGUGUAAGCGCAGCGAUGCGUUGAGCUAACCGGUACUAAUGAACCGUGAGGCUUAACCUUACAACGCCGAAG